AUUGAGAGUUUGAUUCUGGCUCAGAACGAACGCUGGCGGCGCGCUUAACACAUGCAAGUCGAACGGGAUGCAUGAAGUGGAUCACUUCGGUGUGAAGCAUCAUGUUAUCUAGUGGCGAACGGGUGAGUAACACAUGGGCAACCUGCCCUAAGGUUUGGGAUACCUCCGGGAAACCGGGAUCAAUACCGAAUAUAAUGACGAGGUGAAAUUCCUUGCCAUGAAAGCCAAUGGCAACAUUGGUGCCUUUGGAUGGGCCCGUGUCCUAUCAGCUUGUUGGUGAGGUAAUGGCUCACCAAGGCAAAGACGGGUAGCCGGACUGAGAGGUUGAUCGGCCACACUGGAACUGAGACACGGUCCAGAC
rnacentral:rRNA from 1 species